AUAUUGCACAAGGGGCGCAAGCCUGAUGCAGCCAUGCCGCGUGUAUGAAGAAUGCCUUCGGGUUGUAAAGUACUUUCAGCGAGGAGGAAGGCAUUAAGGUUAAUAACCUUGGUUGUUGACGUUACUCGCAGUAGAAGCACCGGCUAACUCCGUUCCAUCAGCCGCGGUAAUACGGAGGGUGCAAGCGUUAAUCGGAAUUACUGGGCGUAAAGCGCACGCAGGCGGUAUGUCAAGUCGGAUGUGAAAUCCCCGGGCUCAACCUGGGAACUGCAUUCGAAACUGGCAGGCUAGAGUCUUGUAGAGGGGGGUAGAAUUCCAGGUGUAGCGGUGAAAUGCGUAGAGAUCUGGAGGAAUACCGGUGGCGAAGGCGGCCCCCUGGACAAAGACUGACGCUCAGGUGCGAAAGCGUGGGGAGCAAAC
rnacentral:rRNA from 1 species